GACGAACGCUGGCGGCGUGCCUAAUACAUGCAAGUAGAACGCUGAAGAGAGGAGCUUGCUCUUCUUGGAUGAGUUGCGAACGGGUGAGUAACGCGUAGGUAACCUGCCUGGUAGCGGGGGAUAACUAUUGGAAACGAUAGCUAAUACCGCAUGAAAUGGAUUAUCGCAUGAUAAUCGAUUGAAAGGUGCAAAUGCAUCACUACCAGAUGGACCUGCGUUGUAUUAGCUAGUUGGUGAGGUAACGGCUCACCAAGGCAACGAUACAUAGCCGACCUGAGAGGGUGAUCGGCCACACUGGGACUGAGACACGGCCCAGACUCCUACGGGAGGCAGCAGUAGGGAAUCUUCGGCAAUGGACGGAAGUCUGACCGAGCAACGCCGCGUGAGUGAAGAAGGUUUUCGGAUCGUAAAGCUCUGUUGUAAGAGAAGAACGAGUGUGAGAGUGGAAAGUUCACACUGUGACG
rnacentral:rRNA from 1 species